GCUGGUCGCAGGUCAGGGCGCUGACCAGGGCAUCAUCGGAGGUGUCCCAAGCUAGACGCGGGUUCGAUUCCCGUCACCCGCUCCA
rnacentral:tRNA from 1 species